ensembl:lncRNA
AUAAUGGCAGAUCAGGUCGCUUAUCUGAGAGUGCUCAUUUAUGAGUACGUUCAUUUCAGGUCUGUGACUUUCCCUUCUAAGCCUGUCAAGCCUAAACAUCAUUAUUUGUGCUAUUACCCAGAGCUCAUAAAACAAUUUGGACCACUCAUUCGGUUAUGGACUAUGAGGUUUGAGAGCAAGCAUAUUUCAAGCAAUGUGGUAGAAAAUUGCACAACUUCAAAAACUUAUGUGCAACACUUGCAGAAAGGCACCAGCUUCUCCAAGCCUACUUAAGUGCUGGAAAUCUCUUCCAGCUUUCUGUGCAAGUUGAGAAAGGCUCUGAAUUUUAUUCAGAUGAUUAUAAUGAAGCGGUCAAGGAAUCAAUUGAUCAUUUUGAUUUUCAGCCAGGCAAUACAUUAGUAGCUACUGAAAUCACUUUGAAAGGAGCAAAGUAGAGGAAAGGCAUGGUUGGGCUUUUGGUCAGUAAUGAUGAGGGUUUGGAUGUUGGCAGAAUUAAAUUAAUUCUUGCUCACCAGAACUCGGUGGUCUACUUUGUGCUGUGCAGUUGGUGGAUUUGGGUGUAUACUGCAUAGCAGAUGAGGACCCAAGAUAUGUCUGUGUACUUCAACAGGGAGUUAUCAGAUUAUUACCCUCUCCAGGAGUACAAAACAUGUGGCUUGUCUGUGAUUGUGUUACUCCACUGUUUUCCAUCUUUUUAAGGUAUGUCCAGUUUAGAGGAGAUAAAACUGUCCAUCUGCUCUUUAUUACCUGGUCUCUCUGAUGAAACCCUUCAAAAAUUGAUCCAUGGGCUUACUGCUAUUGGUGUUGAAACAAAAGCUGACCUCAACUAUUUUUGAAAUAAGGCAACCUCAUGGAAUACCUCAGGCCUGUCCAACGUCGAAAACUACUAAAUGUGUGGAAAAAUGAAGAACAAGCCAGCUGCUCGACUUCCCAACGCUCAUCACAUCAAGUUCUUUCUGAUACAUCAAGCCAAGGAUCAGAGAGUUCUUCAAGUUCUACACCAUCUAGUUCUUCUGCUUGCUCUUCAGCAUCUUAUUCCUGGACUGACACAUUUAAGGUGUCUUGGGAAGUCAUGCCUUCUGGACUUAAAUUGGCCACUGCAAAUAAAAAAAAGACCAUCACCAGCUGAUCAAAGGCAGCUAGUAAGGAUGUUAGUAGAUAAUAUGUGA